ensembl:rRNA 5S_rRNA 5S ribosomal RNA
GUCUACAGCCAUACCACCCUGAAUGCACCCGAUCUCAUCUGAUCUCGGAAGCUAAGCAGGGUCGGGCCUGGUUAGUACUUGGAUGGGAGAAAGGUCUUUCCAGCAGCAGGGUGGAGAGUGGUGUGGAAGAGG